UUGGCGCUAUAGGGGCAACAUUAAUAAAAUUGGACGAUACAGAGAAGAUUCGCAUGGCCCUGCGAAAGGAGGACACCAAAUCCGUUUUGGAUAGCGCGCUCAUCUUUUUU